UGGGAAAUCUUGGCUGUAGUGUAUUGCUCCUGUCAUCGUUUACGGUGAAAAUGUAGAUGAUGUCAAUUCUAGUGUAGAAUGAGGAGAAGAAAAAACUGUAGAAAAUAAAUUCUAAAUGGUGUGGCCAUAAAUAACCCAAAACAUGGCCAGUAAUCAGGUGGAGUACCAAUGGGCCUACACUGUAAUGGACUCAUCAAGGGUAUCCACCUACUUGAUAUCGAUUUUGCUUAUUGUUUAUGGUAGUUUUCGAUCACUCAACAUGGAGCAAGAGGC